CCUACGGGUGGCUGCAGUGAGGAAUAUUGGUCAAUGGGCGGGAGCCUGAACCAGCCAAGUCGCGUGAGGGAAGACGGUCCUAUGGAUUGUAAACCUCUUUAGGCGGGGAGCAAUGCCGGGCACGCGUGCCCGGAGGGAGAGUACCCGCAGAAUAAGCAUCGGCUAACUCCGUGCCAGCAGCCGCGGUAAUACGGAGGGCGCGAGCGUUAAUCGGAAUUACUGGGCGUAAAGCGCGCGUAGGCGGUAUGUCAAGUCAAGGGGGAAAUCUCCGGGCUCAACGUGGGAACUGCCGUUGAAACUGGCAAACUGGAGUGUGUGGGAGGAUGGUGGAAUUCGAGGUGUAGGAGUGAAAUCCGUAGAUAUCUGGAGGAACAUCAGUGGCGAAGGCGACUAUCUGGCACAUAACUGACGCUGAGGAGCGAAAGCGUGGGUAGCAAACAGGAUUAGAUACCCUAGUAGUC
rnacentral:rRNA from 1 species